AUACGUAGGUGACAAGCGUUAUCCGGAUUUACUGGGCGUAAAGGGCGUGUAGGCGGUCUUGCAAGUCAGAAGUGAAAUUCCUGAGCUCAACUCGGGCGCUGCUUCUGAAACUGCAGGACUUGAGUGCUGGAGGGGAUAGCGGAAUUCCUAGUGGAGCGGUAAAAUGCGCAGAUAUUAGGAAGAACACCGGUGGCGAAGGCGGCUAUCUGGACAGUAACUGACGCUGAGGCGCGAAAGCGUGGGGAGCAAACAGGAUUAGAUACCCUGGUAGUCCACGCCGUAAACGAUGGAUACUAGGUGUAGGAGGUAUCGACCCCUUCUGUGCCGGAGUUAACACAAUAAGUAUCCCACCUGGGGAGUACGGCCGCAAGGUUGAAACUCAAAUGAAUCGACGGGG
rnacentral:rRNA from 1 species